rnacentral:lncRNA from 1 species
CCAGGCUCCUGUUUCCACAUUACUAACCAAAAGCAGUUAGAUGGUUUUUUUGGGCGCCUCUGCUUUUCCAAAUCUCUGCAUGGCUGUGUCUCUCCCUUCAGAAAAGGGAAGGACGUGCUCCAGAGGCUCCGUGGAGGUGGCAUGGAUCUUCAUUUGGAUUUCAGGAGACAUAAACAACAGCAGCUUGUGAAGACAACGCUUCUGUGAAGGGGGGAAGCCUUCAGUGCUGGGCAGAAGGGAGCCUGCAGAGGGCUGUGGGAAGAGGCAGAGCCAGCUUUGCCUGGGAACGCCUCAUCCAAGGAGAGGAUCCAAAGAAACAGGUUCACCUCCUGCAGGCCCCCAGGACUGGGAAUUGGAUGGGUUGGAGAAGCUGCCUUUGCUUUGUGCUGCUCCCCUGUAGUCAGCAAUUAUCUCUUCAGGAUCCUGUUAGGCUCUACAGUCACAGUAUGAAACCAUCCCCUAACCAAUCCUUGAAACCUGAAUAAAAAGCAACAAGGAAAGGACCCUUCUAUUCCAGACCUGCUCUCUCUGCUGUUUGGACCUCGCAGCUCAUCUGAGGGUAAAACCUGCAGUUCAGCCAGAAGGGAGGAGUGUUUCUGUGAGACAAGGGCAGACAAAGCCCAUUUGCUUCCUGAAUGCUGCAGAAGAGGUUUUCUUUGGCAAAACGUAGCCAAAAGCCAGCCUUGGAACCUCCUCAUGAGGAUGCUCCAGGUGUGUUUCUCUUUAUCUCCCUGAUGUAAGAGUGGUGCUGUUCUCAGUGCUAUGGCAUGAAGU